rnacentral:rRNA from 1 species
UACGUAGGCAGCGAGCGUUGUUCGGAGUUACUGGGCGUAAAGAGUGUGUAGGCGGUGCUCCAAGUCUGUUGUGAAAUCUCCCGGCUUAACUGGGAGGGUGCGGCGGAAACUAGAGUGCUAGAGGGUGGGAGAGGUAAGCGGAAUCCUGGUGUAGCGGUGAAAUGCGUAGAUAUCAGGAGGAACACCUGUGGUGUAGACAGCUUACUGGACCACUUCUGACGCUGAGACACGAAAGCGUGGGUAGCAAACAGG